AAACACACAAUAAAUAAAUGUACAUAUAUUUAUAGAUGAAACAUGUACUUUAAUAGUAAUAUGUCUUUCAUGCAUUGCAUAUACUACAUAUGCAUAUGAAAUUAAAUGUUCAUUAAUUAAAUUAAAUAUCUUAUUUUAGGCCUGAUGUGUUUAAUGGGUCACAAGGGGUUUAAUGGGACCAUCACGGGCAAUAUUUUUCGCUGGCAAAGGCUCUUGGGGACGACUGCAAUAAAUCUAGAACAAUUCCAGGAAACUCGUAAGUAUUCGUGAUGCUAUUUAUUCCUGAAAUUUACAACAGUUUGCUUCCAAAUUAGCGAAAGAUUCUUGGAGUUUACCACAAUUUAAAAUAACUAUCACACUAGUACAGUAUCAUAGUCCUAAAUUCAUUUAUAUUCAGGCAAACACAUGCAUUCAUGUGAUGACAUUCUAGAAAAUUUACUGCUAUUUAUAGUAGCUUUCAGUAAGCGUGCAUGGCAACGUAAAUGGUGGUUAAUUUCAGAACAGCUGGCACUUAUUAGAACAUGAGCGUAAUAUUAUACUAUGCAUCUCAAUUCUAUUUAAUUACUAUGUAUAAAUACCUCUGAUAACUGCAGGUUGACCACCAUCUAUUAGGUGGCGAAGGGCUCUCGGAUUUUGCCAAAUUUUGAAAUGGUAUACAAAAGUACAAAACGAGAAUAAAGCAAGGUGUUAUAUCCGAAGAGAAUUAGUCUGCGCACAGACUGUCCCUCCCCCCCCCCAAAAAACCCCCCAAACCACCCACCCCCCGUGGCAAUCUCGUACCCAGAAUUUAGAAUUUAUUCUGUGCUGUGAUUGGUUUACCGUUUAUCAGAAAUGCAUGCCGACAAAGAACCGGAACCCCUAGGGGUUCCGGUUGUUUAUUUCCCCAGAGCCAAUGCCUUCUUAACCCGCGCACAGGCAUUGCUCUCGGUACGAGAUUGCCUCCGUGGUGGAAGGAGAACAGUCUGCGACCAUUUGUCAUUAAUGCUGUACAGUGAAGUAGUCGUAUAAAUAGAUAUAAUAUCAUGCACUUCAGCACUUUAGUGGCUUUCUAAUUUUAUUAUCCAAUCAGGUGCGGUAAUCGGUAAAACCGGUGUACUCGUCUGAAUCGUCUCGAAAUUAGCUAAGCAAAUUUAUGCAAGUAUAAUUUUGAAACGAACCAAUCGAAACGAACCAACCGCCGAUCAUAUUUCGCCGGUAGCUGUACAGCAUUAGCGUCGAAUGACAGCAGACUGUAAUCCCGCGGGGGGAACGGGAUGCAGUCUGCGAGCUGACUAGAAGAGAAUUAACUAACCUAAAAUUAAAAAAAUAAAAAUUGUCUUGACUAUACGUUUAAAGCUGUACUUUUAUUACAUAACACGCAUUCAUGGGUGCUUGUCAUCAGCUCGCUCUGCUUAGUCAACAGUCAAUAAUUAUACUGGUCAACUCGUUAAGUGAUAAUAUUACUGUUCUUGUAUCUUUUGUACUAAUGCUAAUCAUUAAAACAGGUCGAAUAAGUUAUAAUAAAAAUAAGAGUCAUCUAGUUAUCAACACCCAUCAUUGCAAGUAUCGGUAUAUACUGUUCCAAUCAGUUUUACACAGCAAUAUUGAGUUCUCAAUUUUCGUAUCAUUCAGAAGAUUGUUUAUUCUUGAUCCAGUGAACGCAAAAGAACAUUUCCACACCAGCAGAUUCUGUUUUACUUUCAAAGGAACCAUGCCAUUAUUGUUACCACGUGGUCCUAGUGAAGUAAUCUUUGACAUCUGGACAAUUCAAACAUUUUGAAAACACACAAUUUUUCUUGUUUGCAUUGCGUCAUUUCCUGGAGAAUCAUUCAUUCUGUCUCUUUUCAUUUGAUUACUAUAUUAUAACUGAUAUGUUCAAUUUCCAAAAAGUAUAGGUCAGUAAAUACUCAAUUAAACGAGGAUACAAUUUUAUGUUAAUUAAGUAUCCAGAUUAAUAUUUGUUUGUUUUGUGGAAAACACCAUGCAUAUUUAUUGUUGCAAAGCUUUUGAUCCGUAAGCCCGAAUCUUUAGCAGCGCUAAUGAAAUACGAUUUGUUCCAAUCAUAGUUAUAUUAACUAUGUUCCAAUUCACGCCUCGUUUUUAUAUACUAUCUAUGUGUUCGUGGUAUUUGAAAGUUCAUUAAACUGUUGCAUCAGUCACGUGAUUUCAUCAAUGUUAUUCUGAUUCAUCAAUGUCAUUCUGAUUUCUGAACAACAUUGAUGACUGAUGCGAUCUAAUGAGCGCUCGCGCAUGCUAGACAUGAGAAAACCUACUUUGCAUAUCAAAGAAGGUACAGCAACGUACUAUCCAAUGGUUUUCCCUCUUGAAUUUGAAUAUGUAUUGUUGCUUGCGAGAAAACUUAAGAGUUAUGAGUUUCAGUCGCCAAAAUGAUUGAAUUUGAAAACAAGUCGUAUAUUAUUAGCACCGAUGAAGAUUCGGCUUGCGGAUCGAAAGCUUAGUGCGAUAAUAAAAAUACGUGAUGUUUUGCACAAAUCAAAACAAAUAUUAUAUUGUCGCCAUAUGUUGUCUAAACGAAUUGCGCACCAGAUAUAUUAUUGCAGAGCACAGGUUUAGAAAAUAUGAUCUUUCAAUUUCUAGAAAAACGAGUUAAUAUAAAACCGAAUUAGAGAUAACUUAUUAUCGGUUUACUUGUACUCGUGUUGCAUUCUUUUGUUUGUAGAAAACACAUGCAAUCAUGCAGAUACUUACCUUUUACUUACCCAUUUCUUUUUCCCUUACGCUAGCCAUUUUCCUAAGGCUUGCAACAUUAAGGUUACACGACACCCUUUUUGGCGUUUUGCGGAAAAUCGCUACUGCGCGCUCAAUAUCAGUCCGAUUUUCAUCAAAUUUUCACCAAAUGUUCUCCAGUGCAUGCAAAAUAUGGUAAACUUGUAAAAUCAAUAAAAAAUAAAAUAAUAUAAGAAUUAUUCAGGAAAAUCUUAAAUCGCGGUGCCGUUACGCUUUUGAGUUGUGCUCCUGCUGGUUUUAAGUUAUAUUUAUGAAAAUAUCAUUUUUAUACAGUGAAAUAGUUG